GCGCGGGCGUGGCGGUUGCCGUUGGGGGUGACCCGUUGGGGUCGGGUGCCGGUCCUUUGGGCCGGUGACUCUGGACGCGAGCCUAGCAGGGGUUAACUGGAGGAAGUCUCCGCCGGGUGACUGGUGGCCCGCAGCUAGGAGACGUGGCGCUUUGAUAAGCUUCCCUGAGGAGAGGCCCAUAUGCUAAGAAAAUAAGGGUGGCCUCCUACCAGCAGCCAGCAAGAAAGCAACACCCUCAGUCUGACAACCCAGAAAGAACUGAAUCCUGCCAACCACCAUGUGAGUUUGGAAACAUCUUUCUCUGGUUGAGCAUCAGAUGAGACCCCAGUGCUGGCUGACACCUUCUGAGAGACCCUAAUGCAAAGCAGCCAGUUAAGCUGUGUCCAUGUUCCUGACCCACAGAAACUCCUUUUCAGAUGGGAAAAGAUCCUAAAACUAAGAAUGGCUUCCAAGCACUGACUGGAAAAGUGGCAUAGAGAAAAAACUGAAGAUGUGACUAUACAGCCUUUUGUUAAAACCUCAGAAAGAUCAAAGGAACGGAAUAUUCGGUCAAACAAAAGGACCUUGAAAGAAAUGAAGGGUGUGCCUCAAGGAACCUCUUAAUUAAACCAGAGACCUUCUAGGAAGUUUAAGGGCAUUGUUCCUCAGCAAAAUCAACAGGGCCCAAAGUAGAGAAGGUUUUACCUAGAAGAGAUUUUUGGAUGGGGUUUUUGUCCAAUGCAAUGAAUCUCAGUGAAAUUCAUAGACAGCUGACAAAACUUUUGAGAAAAUUGUAUCACCAAAAACACUGCCACUUUGGACUGAAAGGGACAGAGAGUACAAAAUGAAAAGAAGGUAUUGGACUUCCAAACUUCUACUGGCAGAAGGCAGGCUGAGAAAACUAAGCUGCAAACUGGUACUACCUUUUGUGAAAAAGAAGUGGAGACUCAGAACGUGAAACCAAGAGUCCAUAGGGUGGAGCCAAGACCCACGGAGAAUUAUUCCUAGACUUUUAAACCUAAUCAAAGAACUUCCAAUAUUUGCUGAAUUGUAUUUCAGAAUUGCUGUGGUACACUGAUGCCUUCGUACUUCCAUUUCCCCCCUUUGGGAAUGUCUAUUGUUGUUUUCUUUUGCUUGUCACAGCGUUGUAUGUUGGGUAUCCAGGAGGAAGAAAACUUGUCUCUUCACUUUCACACUUCCCCUAAAUUGUGCUCCAGGAGACAUACUUAACAAAACUACACCUAAGGAGCCUCAUCUUCACAUGGACCUAAUUUAGAUGAUGAGAUCCUAAACUUUGAGCAGAUGCUAUAAUGGGAUGAAACUCUUGAAGACCUUAGGAGAAGAUGAAUGUAUUUGGCAUAUGAAAGUGAUGUGAAUCACUGGGGACCAGAGGAUGGUCUGUGGUAGGCAUUUUCCAAGAUGGCCCUUAGUGAUCCCUGCCUUCUGAUAUUUACAGCUUUGUGUAAUUCUGUCCCCUUAAGUAACUUGCUUCUAAGAACGAACGGACUACCUCAGCAGUGAGGGAAGGUCAUUUCUGUGAUCAGAAAAAAGAUUCUGAUCUGGCUAACAGACUUUCUUCAUUGAUGGCUUUGAUGGAGCAAGUUGCCAUGUUGGAGAGGCACAUGUGGCAAGAACUGAGGGCAGCCUCUGGCCAACAGCCAGCUGAGAACUGUUCAGUCCAAAAACCCGAAAGGAACUGAAUCCUGCCAACAACCAAGUAAGUGAGAUUGGAAGUGAAUCAUUCCUCAGUUGAGCCUUCACAUGAGACCCCAGCACUGGCUCAUGCCUUGAUUUCAGCUUUGUGAGAAAUCUUAGAUAAUUAAACUGUACCUGGACUCCUGA